rnacentral:rRNA from 2 species
CAGUCGAGCGGAUCGAUGGGAGCUUGCUCCCUGAGAUCAGCGGCGGACGGGUGAGUAACACGUGGGUAACCUGCCUGUAAGACUGGGAUAACUCCGGGAAACCGGGGCUAAUACCGGAUAACACCUACCCCCGCAUGGGGGAAGGUUGAAAGGUGGCUUCGGCUAUCACUUACAGAUGGACCCGCGGCGCAUUAGCUAGUUGGUGAGGUAAUGGCUCACCAAGGCGACGAUGCGUAGCCGACCUGAGAGGGUGAUCGGCCACACUGGGACUGAGACACGGCCCAGACUCCUACGGGAGGCAGCAGUAGGGAAUCUUCCGCAAUGGACGAAAGUCUGACGGAGCAACGCCGCGUGAGUGAAGAAGGUUUUCGGAUCGUAAAACUCUGUUGUUAGGGAAGAACAAGUGCCGUUCGAAUAGGGCGGCGCCUUGACGGUACCUAACCAGAAAGCCACGGCUAACUACGUGCCACCAGCCGCGGUAAUACGUAGGUGGCAAGCGUUGUCCGGAAUUAUGGGGCGUAAAGCGCGCGCAGGUGGUUUCUUAAGUCUGAGGUGAAAGCCCCGGCUCACCCGUGAAGGGUCAUUGGAACUGGGGAAUUGAGUGCAAAGAGGAAGUGAAUUCCAGUGUACGGUGAAUGCGUAAUUUUGGAGGACACCAGUGGCGAAGCGACUUCUGGUCUGUACUGACACUGAGGCGCGAAACGUGGGAGCAACGGAUUAGAUACCUGGUAGUCCCGCCUAACGAUGAUGCUAGUGUUGAGGUUCCGCCCUUAGUGCUGCACUACGCAUAUGCCUCCCCUGGGAGUACGGCGCAGACUGAACUCAAGAAUUACAGGGCCCCCCACCGUGAGCAGUGUUUAUUCAGCACGCGAGACUUACACGUGUGAGUCUC